rnacentral:rRNA from 1 species
GACGAACGCUGGCGGCGUGCUUAACACAUGCAAGUCGAACGGUGAAGGGGUCUGCUUUUGUGGGCCCUGGAUGAGUGGCGAACGGGUGAGUAACACGUGAGUAACCUUCCCCCUUCUUCUGGAUACCCGCAUGAAAGUGUGGCUAAUACGGGAUAUUCUGGGUCUGUCGCAUGGUGGGUCUGGGAACGGUGGCGCGGUGGGGUGUUGUGGCUGGGGAGCGGGUUGGGGGGCUAUUGGCUUGUUGGUGGGGUGAUGGCCUACCAGGGCGGGGAGGGGCAGGCGUCCUGAGAGUGGGGGGGGUCACAGGGGGACGGGGAAACGGGGCAGAGAGCUACGGGAGGCAGCAGUGGGGAAGACUGCAGAAGGGAAGAAAGCCUGAUGGAGCGACGCCGCGUGAAGGAACGAGGCCUUCGGGUUGUAGACCUCUGUCGCGAGUGAAGCAUGCCUGCUCCUUGUAGGGGGGUUGACGGUAGCUGGAUAAGAAGCGCCGGCUAACUACGUG